GAAAAGAAUGCUAAUACCGCAUGACAUAUCGGAACCACAUGGUUCUGAUAUCAAAGAUUUUAUCGCUUGAAGAUGGACUCGCGUCCGAUUAGUUAGUUGGUGAGGUAACGGCUCACCAAGACCGCGAUCGGUAGCCGGGCUGAGAGGUUGAACGGCCACAUUGGGACUGAGACACGGCCCAGACUCCUACGGGAGGCAGCAGUGGGGGAUAUUGCGCAAUGGGGGCAACCCUGACGCAGCAACGCCGCGUGAAGGAUGAAGGUUUUCGGAUUGUAAACUUCUUUUAUUAAGGACGAAAAAUGACGGUACUUAAUGAAUAAGCUCCGGCUAACUACGUGCCAGCAGCCGCGGUAAUACGUAGGGAGCAAGCGUUGUCCGGAUUUACUGGGUGUAAAGGGUGCGUAGGCGGCUUUGCAAGUCAGAUGUGAAAUCUAUGGGCUCAACCCAUAAACUGCAUUUGAAACUGUAGAGCUUGAGUGAAGUAGAGGCAGGCGGAAUUCCCCGUGUAGCGGUGAAAUGCGUAGAGAUGGGGAGGAACACCAGUGGCGAAGGCGGCCUGCUGGGCUUUAACUGACGCUGAGGCACGAAAGCGUGGGUAGCAAACAGGAUUAGAUACCCUGGUAGUCCACGCUGUAAACGAUGAUUACUAGGUGUGGGGGGUCUGACCCCUUCCGUG
rnacentral:rRNA from 1 species